rnacentral:misc_RNA from 1 species
UGUUCCGACAGAGUAGCAGUAACGAGAUUCCACUCUUCGAAAAUGGCCAACCAUGCAAGUGCAGCACAGGAAGAGCCACCCAUGCAACCAUGUUACUUGUUCUUAGAUUACGACCAAAGUAGCCAAACACGAGAACAAUUCUCUCGCAAAGACCUAGUGGCUACCCAAUGUUACCACCAAAAUUGCGCAUGCAAGAUAAGUUUUGGGUCACUUUGCCUGUUUGGUUCCUUUCUUCUCACUUGAUCGGUUCUAUACUAUCAUCAGCUUCUGCUGCUCAAGUUUCUGCUUGGAUUUAUCAUAACCAUUUUGUUAUCAAAGCAACAUGAUGCGACUUUUUUUUGGGUAAGUAGCAAAAUUUUCAUCUUUUAUGUUCAUUUCCAAGCAUUAUCCCAAAAAAGAAUGAUAAAUCAUUUUGUUUCCAA